UAUGUGAUCGUCUCUCGCAUAUCAAUAAGCGGAGGAAAAGAAACUAACAAGGAUUCCCCUAGUAACGGCGAGUGAAGCGGGAAGAGCUCAAAUUUGAAAUCUUAAAGGGUUUCCCUUUACGAAUUGUAGUUUAAAGAAGUGUUUUCUGUUGAGGUUUUGGUAAAAGUUCUUUGGAAUAGGACAUCAUAGAGGGUGAGAAUCCCGUAUUUGACCUUUACUUCUCAACUUUGUGAUACACUUUCAAAGAGUCGGAUUGUUUUGGGAAUGCAGUCCAAAAUGGGUGGUAAAUUUCAUCUAAAGCUAAAUAUUGGCGAGAGACCGAUAGCGAACAAGUACCGUGAGGGAAAGAUGAAAAGAACUUUGAAAAGAGAGUUAAACAGUACGUGAAAUUGUCAAAAGGGAAGCGUUUGACACCAGUGUUGUUUUUCUGAAAAUCAAUUAAAGAACUGUUUAUGCUAAGCUGUUUAGACUUUAUCAGCUAUCUGUUUAGUUUUGAGCUUUUCUUUAAUGCACUUUUCAGUUAACAAGUCAACAUCAAUUUCUUUUGCUGUAAAAAAGCUUGAGGAAGGUGGCUUGAGAUUCGUCUUAAGUGUUUAUAGCCUCUUGCCUAUGCAGUCGGAGAGAUUGAGGUCUGCAGCGUAGAUCCUUCGGGGCUAAAUGCAUUUGUGCUAAGUUAUAGCAUUUCAUAGACAACUUGUUGACUAUGAUUUGUCUUGUAGCUUACUCGCUUAUGUUAUUUUACCUACGCUUAGGAUGUUGAUCUACAGAGCGAGAGU
rnacentral:rRNA from 1 species